AGCGAACGCUGGCGGCAGGCCUAACACAUGCAAGUCGAACGGACCCUUCGGGGUUAGUGGCGGACGGGUGAGUAACACGUGGGAACGUGCCUUUUGGUUCGGAAUAGCUCCUGGAAACGGGUGGUAAUGCCGAAUGUGCCCUUUGGGGGAAAGAUUUAUCGCCAUUAGAGCGGCCCGCGUCUGAUUAGCUAGUUGGUGAGGUAAAGGCUCACCAAGGCGACGAUCAGUAGCUGGUCUGAGAGGAUGACCGGCCACAUUGGGACUGAGACACGGCCCAAACUCCUAAGGGAGGCAGCAGUGGGGAAUCUUGCGCAAUGGGCGAAAGCCUGACGCAGCCAGGCCGCGUGAAUGAUGAAGGUCUUAGGAUUGUAAAAUUCUUUCACCGGGGACGAUAAUGACGGUACCCGGAGAAGAAGCCCCGGCUAACUUCGUGCCAGCAGCCGCCGUAAGAC
rnacentral:rRNA from 1 species